GACGAAACGUGCGAACGUUGUUCGGAAUCACUGGGCUUAAAGGGCGCGUAGGCGGCCCGCCAAGUCCGCGGUGAAAUCCUCCAGCUCAACUGGAGAACUGCCGCGGAUACUGGAGGUCUCGAGGGAGGGAGGGGCAAGCGGAACUGCGGGUGGAGCGGUGAAAUGCGUUGAUAUCCGCAGGAACACCGGUGGCGAAGGCGGCUUGCUGGACCGUUUCUGACGCUGAGGCGCGAAAGCCUGGGGAGCAAACGGG
rnacentral:rRNA from 1 species